rnacentral:rRNA from 1 species
UACGUAGGGGGCAAGCGUUGUCCGGAAUUAUUGGGCGUAAAGAGCGCGUAGGCGGUCCGAUAAGUCGGCUGUGAAAGUCCAGGGCUCAACCCUGGAAAGCCGGCCGAUACUGUCGGACUAGAGUCCGGAAGAGGCGAGUGGAAUUCCCGGUGUAGCGGUGAAAUGCGCAGAUAUCGGGAGGAACACCUGUGGCGAAGGCGGCAUCCUGGACCGAGAUUGACGCUGAGGCGCGAAAGCUAGGGAGCAAACGGG